rnacentral:rRNA from 1 species
UAUUGCGCAAUGGGGGGAACCCUGAUCCAGCGACGCCGCGUGAGUGAAGAAGUAUUUCGGUAUGUAAAGCUCUAUCAGCAGGGAAGAAAGAAAUGACGGUACCUGACUAAGAAGCCCCGGCUAACUACGUGCCAGCAGCCGCGGUAAUACGUAGGGGGCAAGCGUUAUCCGGAUUUACUGGGUGUAAAGGGAGCGCAGGCGGCGCGUUAAGCCUGGUGUGAAAGCCCGCGGCCCAACCGCGGGACUGCAUUGGGAACUGGCGCGCUGGAGUGCCGGAGGGGUAGGCGGAAUUCCUAGUGUAGCGGUGAAAUGCGUAGAUAUUAGGAGGAACACCAGUGGCGAAGGCGGCCUACUGGACGGUGACUGACGCUGAGGCUCGAAAGCGUGGGGAGCAAACAG